ACGGAGGAUGCAAGCGUUAUCCGGAUUCAUUGGGUUUAAAGGGUGCGCAGGCGGAAUACUAAGUCAGGGGUGAAAGCUCACGGCUUAACCGGAGAACUGCCCUUGAUACUGUCAUUCUUGAGUACAGUUGAGGUGGGCGGAAUGUGUCAUGUAGCGGUGAAAUGCAUAGAUAUGACACAGAACACCGAUCGCGAAGGCAGUUCACUAAGCUGUAACUGACGCUCAGGGACGAAAGCGUGGGGAUCAAACAG
rnacentral:rRNA from 1 species